AUGGUGGAAUUUCACAGAUGUUGGAGAAACAGGUAAAACUUCUCCUGGUGUCAGACUGACGUUUCAACUUAUCUACGCUACGGGAGCAUCUCCUCGCAUACCUUACACUGCUUUCAGAAGAAAGAUUAUCAAAUGAUAAGACCACAAGACAAUGACCUACAUAUGUUGUGGGAUCCUUACAAAACAUACUGUCUGUCGUUCUGUUGGAAAAGUCUCAUUAUCUAUCCUUGUUCACUCCACAGACUGCAGGCCAAAAAUCUGUUUAUAUUGUCCACAAACCCCACAGAAGAAUGUGAUCCUAUGCUUGAACACAGCUUCAAAUUUAGGCACCUAAUUUCCUGCACAUUUGCUCUUUAUGCC
rnacentral:lncRNA from 1 species